rnacentral:tRNA from 1 species
GGUGGCUCAGUGAUAGAGUGCUUGCCUUGCAUGCCAGAAGCCCUGGGUUCGAUUCCUCAGCACCA